UGGGGAAUAUUGCACAAUGGGCGCAAGCCUGAUGCAGCCAUGCCGCGUGUAUGAAGAAGGCCUUCGGGUUGUAAAGUACUUUCAGCGGGGAGGAAGGGAGUAAAGUUAAUACCUUUGCUCAUUGACGUUACCCGCAGAAGAAGCACCGGCUAACUCCGUGCCAGCAGCCGCGGUAAUACGGAGGGUGCAAGCGUUAAUCGGAAGUACUGGGCGUAAAGCGCACGCAGGCGGUUUGUUAAGUCAGAUGUGAAAUCCCCGGGCUCAACCUGGGAACUGCAUCUGAUACUGGCAAGCUUGAGUCUCGUAGAGGGGGGUAGAAUUACAGGUGUAGCGGUGAAAUGCGUAGAGAUCUGGAGGAAUACCGGUGGCGAAGGCGGCCCCCUGGACGAAGACUGACGCUCAGGUGCGAAAGCGUGGGGGGCAAACAGG
rnacentral:rRNA from 1 species